GGAUUAGGCAUGCAAGUCGGACGGUAGGGCUUUAUCGUAAGAUAGAGUUUGAGAGUGGCGAACGGGUGAGUAACACGUAGGAAUCUACCCUUAAGACGGGGACAACCCAGGGAAACUUGGGCUAAUACCGGAUGAGAGUGCGAGAGAUUGCAUUUAAAAGGAUGGCGAAAGUUGUCGCUUAGGGAUGAGCCUGCGGUCUAUUAGUUAGUUGGUGAGGUAAGAGCUCACCAAGGCGAUGAUAGAUAGGCGGCCUUAACGGGUGGUCGCCCACACUGGGAUUGAGAUACGGCCCAGACUCCUACGGGAGGCAGCAGUCGAGAAUAGUCUACAAUGGCCGGAAGGCUGAUAGUGCGACGCCGCGUGAACGAGGGAGCCCUUCGGGGUGUAAAGUUCUUUUCUAUACGAGCAGUGCUAUAUAUAUGGAUAGUAUAUAUAGAGGGAUAGUAGUAUAGGAAUAAGCAACGGCUAACUCCGUGCCAGCAGCCGCGGUAACACGGGGGUUGCGAGCGUUGUCCGGAAUUACUAGGCGUAAAGGGCAGGUAGGCGGAUCUACGAGUUUUUUGUUAAAGGCUACGGCUCAACUGUAGUAGAGCAGGAGAUACUGUAGGUCUGGAAUGCGGUAGGGGAAGACAGAAUUCCUGGUGUAGCGGUGGAAUGCGCAGAGAUCAGGAGGAAUACCGAAGGCGAAGGCAGUCUUCUAGGCCGUAAUUGACGCUUAACUGCGAAGGUGUGGGGAUCAAACAGGAUUAGAUACCCUGGUAGUCCACACAGUAAACGAUAAUCACUAGAUGUCGGGUUCUAGAUGGAUUCGGUGUCGGAGCCAACGCGAUAAGUGAUUCGCCUGGGGAGUACGAUCGCAAGGUUGAAACUCAAAUGAAUUGACGG
rnacentral:rRNA from 1 species